CUCAGACAAAGUGUAAGACACUGCUGUAUGCAACUCAAAUGAGCAUUACUCAUAGCACUGUCCAUGAAACUGAACAGGAAUGUCAACUAAUAGUAUCUGCUGUAUGGCUGCUAUCACCCUGUUUUGUCCUGUGUGAUGAAUGGAACUGCUGUCAGAGGCCAUACUACAUAUAGCAUUAACCUCUGCAAGACGGGGUUUUCUUUGGUAAGAAUAGGUAACAGAUCAAAAUGAAAGGCUCCUGAUUGGUGCAGUGUAUUCUUAGUCUGGGAAGGUGGAUGUCAGAUUCUGCUUGUGUAUGCAGCAGUUUAAUG